GCCCCGCCCCUACUCAGCCGGCGCCGGAGAGCCGGGGUGCGGGUCGGUGGGAGCUUUUCCAGCGCCCGCGGGGAUCCGGUGCUACUAGGCUGCCGGUUCUCUGGGCAGUGGCUGGGCGUCCGCGGCGGCCGGGGAGGGAGCGCGAACCCCGAGAUCCGGGGAAGAGGCUGUGCGGAGGGGCACCCGGAGGAACCCAGUUAUGUGGCCGCCGCCGCUGUGGCUGCUGCCGCUGCUGCCGCUGCUGCUCUGGGCACCCACGGAAGCCGGGCCCGUGACAGUGGGUGUGCUGGCGCCGGCGCAGGUACAUGGCCUCCUGGGCAACACUGCAGAGUUGUCCUGCCAACUGCCGCCACUGGAGCAUGGGGUGCACGUGACACAGGUGACCUGGACCCGGCGGGAUGCGGCAGGAGAGGACUUCAAUGUGGCGGUCUUCCACCCCACGCAGGGCCCCAGCUUCCCGGAGCCUGGGCGGUUGGAGUUUGUGGCCGCCAGGCCCGGUGAGGAGCUGCGGGACGGGUCACUGGCCCUGCGGGGACUGCGCGCAGAUGAUGAAGCCAACUACACCUGCCGCUUUGCCAUGUUCCCCGAGGGCAGCAGGAGUGCCCAUACCUGGCUCCGGGUGUUGGCCCAGCCCGAGAACAAGGCUGAGUCCGAGGAGGUCCUGUUCAGCCCGCUCAGCCCAGAGCCUGUGCCCGUGGCCCGCUGCGUCUCCAGUGAGGGUCGCCCACCCGCCCGCAUCUCCUGGCCACACCUGGACGGCCAGGCCAAUGAGAGCCAGGUGCCUGGACACCUGCCUGGCACGUUCACCGUCAUCAGCCUCUUAACCUUGAUCCCCUCGAGCAAGGUGGACGGCAAGAAUGUCACCUGCAGAGUGGAACAUGAGAGCUUGAAGAAGCCCGUCCUGCUGCCCGUGACUCUCGCUGUGCCUUACCCUCCCGAAGUCUCCAUCUCCGGCUAUGAUGGCACUUUAUACAUGGGCCACAGUGAGGUCACUCUGAGCUGUGACGUCCGCAGCAAACCGGAGCCCACAGGCUAUAACUGGAGCACGACUGUGGGUCCCCUGCCGCCCUCUGCUGUGGCCCAGGGCUCGCAGCUCCUGAUCCAUACCGUGGACGAGUCAAUCAACACGACUUUCAUCUGCCGUGUCAGCAACGCCCUAGGGACUGGCCAGGCAGAACUGAGCAUCCUGGUCAGAGAAAAACCUCCCAACAAGCACGGCUUGUCCACUGUGACCAUCAUCAUUUGUGGAGCUGUGGCCGGGAUCAUUGUGGUCCUGGGGUUGCUGUUAUAUUUCUUGCUGUACAGACGCCCCCGUCAGAACCAACGCAGCUCCACUGCUAAUGGCCAUGUCAUCUAUACAGCUGUGAACCCUGAUGCCAGCUCCUCCCAGGAUCCACAGACAAACAGCCCCAGGUGACAAGGUGACAGUGUCACCACUGUUGGAGAGAGACUGGGACUGGGGAGGAAUGGACUUUGCAGCUGGACCCUGGCCCAGUGGAUGCAGUCUCCCUUCAAAGAGAGUGGCCACCCUUCUCAUGCCAGACCUCAAGACGUACAGUGGCAGGUGCAAGUCCAGCUGUCCCCACGACCCCUCCCUCUCAGGUUCAGUUAUUCACCGGAAGGAAUCCCAGAACUCAGGAAAGUGGUUGUGCUCAUGGUUACAGUUUACUACAACGAAAGUAUGAGAUUAAGAUCAGAAGCAUGAAAAGUCGCAUGAGGCACCAUCCAGAAGAGUCUUGGCACCAGCUUUCACUUGCACUGACAGUACUGAUUUUUCCUGGCAAUGAUAUGUGUCAACACAGAGUCCUGCCAACCGAAGAAGCUCAGCUGAGCCUUGGUUUCCAGGGUUUUUAUUGGGGAGUCCAUCAUUGCAGACACCGGCUGACCACCCAUGGAACUGACUUAGUCUCCAGCACCUCCCUACGGCAAAGCCUCACUAUAAAUCACACUGUUAUCAUAGACUCACUGGUGCUGCCCACAGCCCCAGGCAAAAUAAGACUCUUAUCAGCCAGGAUACUCCCAGGGGCUUAGAGAUUCCCUGCCUCCCAGAGCCAGGGGCAAAGGAAAGGGCUAAAUCUUACUUUGGGCAAGAUUAACCCUUUCCUGCAUUGUCAUUGUGGGGCCACACAGACUAUUGCAAGUGCCAGCAAAGUUUUGUAAGAAUCUGACCUCUGGCCUUGACCUUCUGAAUCUCCAUGUCAGUGGAAUCCCUGUGAUUACAAGAGAGAGCCGCCAGCCUUAUCCAGAAGAGAAGCCGAGGCUGGAACUCAGCUGCUAGGGCACUCUGAGGAGCAGAAACAAUGGUAGACAUAAACUUGGAGGAUGCAAGUUCCUGGCACCUUCUGCCAAGACUUGGGGCCUGGCAUUGACAGGACAUCGGAGGUUGACAGGACAUCAGAGAAGGGGAGCCAGUACCCCACCAAAGAAAGCAAAGUGUCAAAAACAAGGAGGAAAAGGUUCUAGGAGAGCAGAAACCACAGCUGUGCAAGCCAUACAGACGGCCCUCAGACCAGGGAGGAUACAGCCCAACAUCCCAGAGGGAGAACUUCUCAGGUACAACUGACCCAUUUCUUUUACAACAGACUCUGACCUUGGAGGCAGGCACCAGAAUUCCUCUAACAGUGAGACCUGUCUGUUGGGGAAGGACUUGGCAGGAAAGACCAUGGGCCAGAAUGCUAAACUGGAGCAUGAGGCAUGAGCUGCUGUACAAGAGAAAACAAGAAGUUCUUGGGAUUCACUCAGGGUAGAAGGGAGAGUGUGAACAGCCUCCAUAAGGGGCACCGUGUGUGGAGUUCAGCUCUGCUACUCUGCUGUUUGUUCUAUUUUCCACCACUCGUUGGCAUCAUCCUCAGGCUGGUGCCAAGAUGGCUGCUGCAUUCCUGCCAUCACAACCAGACCCAGACCUGGAAAAACAGACCAGCGUGUCCUGGGUGAAAUUCCCCAGCAGCCUCUUCUCGGGCAUCAUUGGCCAGCGUCAUCCACUGCUCAACCAAUCCCUAGCCAAGAGAAGAGGACUGCUUGGGAGGCUUGGACCACUCAGGACCUGUCCUCUGGGGUUAGGGAAGAGCCCAGAGGAAGGCUGCAGAAGGGACAACAGAAGUCUGGAUCUCUGGUAUUUAUUAGCAGUGACUCUCUGGGUAGUUGGAAGAUGACUGAAUGUUACUCUCUUCUUUUUGAGCUCAUACUGUCUAAAUUUUCCAUAUUAAACCUUGACUUUUAAUAAUG